UACGAAGGGGGCUAGCGUUGUUCGGAUUUACUGGGCGUAAAGCGCACGUAGGCGGAUCGUUAAGUCGGGGGUGAAAUCCUGGAGCUCAACUCCAGAACUGCCUUCGAUACUGGCGAUCUUGAGUCCGGAAGAGGUGAGUGGAACUCCUAGUGUAGAGGUGGAAUUCGUAGAUAUUAGGAAGAACACCAGUGGCGAAGGCGAGUCCCUGGACAACUCCUGACACUGAGGCACGAAAGCUAGGGGAGCAAACAGGAUUAGAUACCCCGGUAGU
rnacentral:rRNA from 1 species